UGGGCACAGGAGAGGAGCAGUGAUCAGAGAACUUGUGAGGUUCAUCUGCAAUGCAGCUGACUCUGUCUUUGGAAAGUUAGUGAACACGGACCACAAGAGAGACAAAGGCAAUAGUCAGCAGAGUGGGCCUCAGAGGAGACAGCCUGGAAGUUUUGCUACAUCUCUUCUGUCACGAAGGACAAAGCAGUUAUACCAGAGAUCAAGAAACAAACAGCUUGGAAGUGCCCUCACUGUGGUCAAGGAGACUACAUGAUCAGAUGUCCACAGUUCAAGGCCAUGAAAAUCAGGAAUCACUGACAUCUUGUGAUGUCUAAGGGCCUUUUUGUGAUCUGUUUUGCUCGGAAGCAAAACGAUUAUUCCUGCAAUAUCAUGUGCCAAACAAGAGGCCAGAUGGAGAUGAUGUUACAACAGAAGAAAUGCCGCAAGUGCCUGUAGAAGUGAGUGCAUAAAUUUGCCUGCAGUCAUAAUGUAAAGCAGGUCUUACCCAUAGUGCUAGCCAAAAUUAGCUGUUUAGACACAAGUGCCAUUGUUAGCACUUAUGCAGUGUUGGACCCAUGGACUAAUGCUACUUAUAGAAGAGUGAUGACCCAGGAGACCCCUUGCAAACCAAGUAAUACAGUUGUUGCUUAGAAGAGGUUUCCAUCUAACAAAGUUUGUUGAUGAACAACACAAGUAAGGACAAGUGAGGAAAAUCCUCUACCAUCCUUGAUGUCAGCUUAGAUGAACUACAAGAAAUGAAGGAAAUACCCAUGGUGGUAACAACAACAAUCACAACAACAAGGAGAAGCAAAGCAGAAGAAACCAAGCCUUCGUGCCAUGUUUUCAGAAGAAAAGGAUGCACCAAGUUAAAGGGAACUUUAACAAGAAAGUCCAAAGACGUGAAAAUGAGAGACAGCAGAGGAACCAGGAGUAGAGCAGAUUCCUGAGCAAUGGUACUGCUGGUGAAGAGGUGUGUCUUGUUGGUAGGCCCCCAAGUAGUGCAGCCCAGGGUUAACACAGACCUACCAGAGGCCAUUCCAGACAUCACCACCUUGGACCCAGAGCAAAGGAGGAAUCUGUUCUCUGACCCUAUCUGUGAAAAGUAAAUAGCUCGCUCUUUUCACAUAUCUGUAUUAACGUCUAUUAUUCCCUCCUUUUCAUAACCGUAUAAUAUUCAAUUUCAUUUAUACGUGCCUGUCCAAUCCCAACACCUAUUUAAUUAAGUCUUAUACACUUGACCUGUGGUUCUUAACUCCCAUGCCUUUCCCUCCAUGCCUCCCUUGCAUCAGUAAAUAAAAUUCCCUCCAUAUCUU